UGAAAUUAUACAAAUAAUAUAUAAUAAUAUAUUAUAUAAAGUUAUUAUAUAUAAUUAUAAAUGGCAAUUAUAUAUAAAUGUACAAAAUCAGCAAAUCGAAAAAUUAGUUGAUAGCAAAUAAUUGACAGCAAAAAGUACAAACCUUUAAGAUUUGUGAACAAGCCUAAAGCUUAGAUUUGUUUUUCACCAUUAUGCUCUUGAUGUUUGAAGGAAAAGAAGCCAAGUUUGCAGUGUAAUACAGCUGAAGAUGUUUUGUAGAUUUUAUAUUGUCUUGCACCUUCUUUUUUUCAGUAUGACAUUUUGAUUUUUUCCAUGCACUUCUUUGAUUGGCACCCUUUUCUCCUUCUUUUGUGGACUGUUUAAAACAUCUCUUUCUGUUGAUGCCUUGUUGUUGUGAAGAAUUCUGUGUGUGUUUCUUGCUGAAUCCAAUGUUAUUUUGAGGGGGUGACUAAAGUCUUUGUGCUCAGUAUCAGCAGACAAUGAGUCAGUCCGGGCAGCACACAUCUGUUUCUCCAUGAGAGGCCACAGAGCUCAGCACGGACUGAUACUCCUACACCAGUGCGCCUCAGUGAAUCACACUCAGUCUUCCUGUAAGCUUCAUACUGAAGCUGUGACAGUGCAGUGAUUCCAGAACAUCUCUCGGAAUGGAGCUUUGAGAAUGUAAUAUGAAAGCUGGGAAAUAUAUUGUCAACAUAAUCAUAUGCUUUCAGGAGGAAACGGAUAAAUCUUUUAAAUAUAUGAUUGUGAGGCAGUUACAGAUGACGAAAACAUCAUUUCCAUCUCUUAGAAACAGUCAUACAGUAUGUCUCUUCCUCUUAAAACACCAGUUAUUCAGCAAGGAGUGGCAUGGGGUUUAUAUACUACAUAUUGGCUUUGACUUACAAGCAAACAGCGCCAUCUUGUGGAGAAGAUCUACCGUUCAAAAGUUUGAAUUCAAUCAAUCCAAUAAUAAUUAUUACUCAAAAGACAGUAACAGUAAAGACAUGUAUAAUGUUACAAAAGACUUCUAUUUCAAAUAUUCUGUUCAAAAAAUCCUAAAAAUAAACACAGCGUCAGUGAACAUGAGACUUUUUUCAAAAACAUCACUUUUGAAAGGUAGCGAAUAACUCUAGUUUAUAAAUCUAGUAGCGUAUAACUCAUAGUAAUUUAAUUAUGAACACCUAUUUGUUCACUUGUCAAUUGCAUGCAUAAAGAUUAUAUUAUAAAUAACACAUUUAAAUAAAUUAUUAAAUAAUUAAUCAAUUGAAAUACAAUGGAUAAUUUACAAACUUGUUAAACUUGAACAAACAAUUCAAGGUUUAUGCAUUUAAGUUGAACUGUUUAGAUGUUUAGUAUAUCUGGAAAGUAAGUUUACAAAUAAUAUUAACUUUAAACAUCAAGAUUGUAGAAUAUAAAUAAAAUUGUAAAAUUAUGUUUUAUAUAGUAGUCUUUAAUAUGUCAUAUUUAAAGGGUUAGUUCAGCCAAAAAUGAAAUUUCUGUCAUUAAGUACUCACCCUCAUGUCAGAAAAGUAGUAAAGACAUUGUUAAAAUAGUCAACGUUAUGAAGCGACGAGAAAUGACUUUAUUCAACAAUAGUCGCCGUUCUGACCUGGAAGCGCUGAACGUAAACAGCGUAGGAGAAUGACAGGAGAGACAAACUUGAAUAAAGUCAUUAUUUUUGUUUUGUUUUUGUGCACAAAAAGUAUUCUCGUCGCUUCAUAACAUAAAGAUUGAACCACUGUAGUCACGUUGACUAUUUUAAUGAUGUCUUUAGUACUUUUCUGGACCUUAAAUGACAGUAAUUACGUUGCUUUCUAUGGGGGAUAAAAAAAAAACCUUGGAUUUCAUCAAAAAUAUCUUCAUUCGUGUUCUGAAGAUGAACGAAGGUCUUACGAGUGUGGAACGACAUGAGGGUGAGUACUUAAUGACAAAACAUUCAUUUUUGGGUGAACUAACCCUUUAAGAACAUUGCUGUCACUGCUUGACAAAUUGUUGACCAAAAGAUGGCGUCACUAACAUGUAAUCAUGAGAAAACAUGAGGAUGUUUGUCACUGAUAGAUAGAUAGAUAGAUAGAUAGAUGUGGGUUUUGCAGUAGCAGUUGUGUGUAGUAUGUGGAGAGUGACAGUAGAUCAGCACACAGCUGUGAUGUCCACAUUCCCCGAGGAGAUCAGCCCACAGAACAAUGUCUGCAGCACACCAGUAAUGCAGACACACCCUUAUUCCACAGAUCAGAUGUACAGUAUGAGAAGGAUUCGGACACACACACACACACACUAAUAAUAAAGCACACAUGCAUCUGCACUAAUAGCAAGUAAUAGCAUUUUAUCAGCUGUCAGGACACACCCAUGUUUCUCACGUCUGUAUUUUUACUCAGUUGAGAACAGAUAAUUUUAUGUGGACGUUUAUUUAGAGUGAUGUAAUGUUAGUAAUGUGGAGAAUCCAGAGAAUUCAGUCUCAUCUACAGAGAGAGAAUAGUGUACAGUAUGAUGAAACUUCUGUGUGAUUUAAAAAUGUGCUAAAGACCUCAAACUUUGAGGCAUUUGCAUGUUGUAGUUUUUUUAAUUAUUUCUAUUAUGCAGGCCUGUACAAGUUCUGCGCAUUUCCUGUUUUUAUGCAUGGUUGUUUAUUGAAUAUUUUGUUUAACAUUAACAACCAAUAAGAUUGUAGUACUCCCAGCUCCAUUUACCUCUAUUUACCAUGAUUAAAUCUAUCGGGCAGAAUGUUGUCACGAUAUGGGUGCUAUAAACAAGCUCACAACAAAGGAGAAUUCAGAAUCACAGUCUUUAUUAAAUCCAUACAAGGGAAACACAGGACAAAAGGCAAAACAACCACUUACAUUGACAAGGAACUGAUUGCGUUGAAGUCAUGUCGGAAGGAUCGUAUUUACGAGUUGAAUGCACAUGAACACCACCACAAUGAGUGGGAAUCUCUGGAUUUUCUUUAAGCCCGAGUUGGGGGUGUGUCAGUGAGAAACAUGGCAGAAUACUACAAUACUUAAAGGUAUUUAGGCUUUUCUGUUUACAAUGAAGUAAGCUAAUUGCCUGCACAAAAUAUGAUAGCAUUGUAAUAUAACAAUAUAAUAUGUAAAAAUAAAGUUUACAGUGGCUUAAAUUAAAAACAUAAAGCAAAACACGCCUGAUGCACAUUCUUUGUUUUACAUUUUCUAGAAGUGUAGAGUUCAAAUUUUUUGUGUAGUUAAUUAAAUAGAGGAUACUAAGCCAUCUUACUCCGCCGAAAGUGACUUGAAUGCACAGAAGUGUCUAUGGACGAGUCAUAUACCUCUCGGAUUUCAUCAAAAAUAUCUUUGUGUUCUGAUGAUGAACGAAGGUCUUACGGGUGUGGAACGACAUGAGUGUGGGUAAUUAAUGACAGAAUUUUCAUUUUUGGGUGAACUAACCCUUUAAGUCUCUCUAAAUAAGCAAGCCAAGGUGACAGUAAAUUUUAGUAUGUAAAUCCUCAACACAGCCAUAAAUAAAACAAAAUUUAGCCACUUUGCACAUGUAGGCUGUAUUCUGCUGUACAAUUUAGUGUACUAGCCUUGUUGACGUUAAUGCUAAUGUGGAAGCCCCAGUGUGUGCUGUGACCUUAGCGUCUCCAGUUACCCCUCAAACCCCUGUGUAAUUCCCCCCGCAGCAGCUGCCCGUGCCGGUGGGGCAGACAAAGUGAGAACAGCACGAGGGCUGCUCGAGGGAGGGAUAGGUCAACUCCCAAAAUAGCCCCUCGGUGUGGUGAGACAGCCCCUCCUCCAGAGAGAAAGACAGAAUGGAAGAAACGGGCGAGUGAAGUGAGUGAGGAAGAGAUACAGAGAGAGAACGACAACAUAUCAGACAGCACGAGCACUCAGAGCUGUCACAUCUGACAUCAGAUCUGACACACAUCAGCGCCGCAUGCCGCGCAGAGCACACUAAACAAUUCUUCAUUCUCUUUCAUUCAUCGUGUUUUACCUCAGCCAGUGAGCAGCCAGCGAUGCAGUAGUGUGUGGGACCUGCUACAUAUUGCCAACAUGCCUGACCUACAUUCAUCGGUGCCGUGUUAUUUUAGGGAGUGGACGACACCGUAUCAAAGAUGCUGCUGGCCGCAACUCUGGUGUUGCUGUGUUGACAACGAGCUGCAGUUGUUUUGGCAUGUCUGCUGUGCCCCAUAAAUGCUCCUGUGAACUAUAUUCUCUCACCCUUGUCUUGAUUGUCUCAGUGCUUUUUAGGUUCUAACACUUUCACAGGUUUUGGGCAAAUAAAUGUAUUUGAAUUAUAUAAGAAAAUAUCAAAACAAGGGGCUUUUAUUUAUAGAGAUAUACCACAAACACAUAGUCAGAUUUCACAAAAUGAAGUUUGAUAUGUUUCGAAAAAAAAAAAAUAUUGUUCAAAAUGAACAAAGUUUGACAACUAGCAAGUGUCCAAAAAUUGUGGAAUAUCUUUAUUGUUAAUAUAAUUAACUACAACACUUUUAUUUAUUGCAAUGAAAUUCUGAUUUUUUUUUUUAAGUGUGACUAAAGUGUAUAAAAGAGUCCAAAUACUUUUUGAGACCUUUAUUUUUUUAUCUUUUUAUUUUAAUUUUGUUUAUUUUAUUAUGGAUGCAGUUACAAUAAUGUCAGUGUGACCAAAUGUUUCAAAAGGAAGUUUCACUUUACAGUAUAUCCUUGGAAACAAGUCCUAUUUUGCCCCCAGAAAUAAAAGUUUUUAUAAAUGA